AUUGAACGCUGGCGGCAUGCUUUACACAUGCAAGUCGAACGGCAGCGCGGGCUUCUGCCUGGCGGCGAGUGGCGAACGGGUGAGUAAUUCAUCGGAACGUGCCCAGCAGUGGGGGAUAGCCCGGCGAAAGCCGGCUUAAUACCGCAUACGACCUGAGUGUGAAAGCGGGGGACCGUAAGGCCUCGCGCUAUUGGAGCGGCUGAUGUCGGAUUAGCCAGUGGGUGGGGUAAAGGCUUACCAAGGCGACGACCCGUACCUGGUCUGAGAGGAGGACUGGCCACACUGGAACUGAGACACGGCCCAGACUCCUACGGGAGGCAGCAGUGGGGAAUUUUGGACAAUGGGGGCAACCCUGAUCCAGCCAUGCCGCGUGCGGGAAGAAGGCCUUCGGGUUGUAAACCGCUUUUGUUCGGGAAGAAAUCCUCUGGGCUAAUACCCCGGGGGGAUGACGGUACCGGAAGAAUAAGCACCGGCUAACUACGUG
rnacentral:rRNA from 1 species